AAAAAAAUGGCGGCGCUUACCGGCCAAUCGAGCGAGAAACUCGGAACAAAUAAUUGACCAUGAGAUAGACAGUUUGACUUUGUUGGGAUUUAGUGCAAAAAUGAGAUAUCCAGAUUGAUAGAAAGUUGCCAACCUAUAUAUAUAUAUGGUACCCCAAAGGAACAAAGCACACCUUCAUAGACAUGCUACAUCAACAUCAUGGUGAUAAGAUUGUAUUAUUGGUAGUUGAUGAAGUUCAUACUAUUCAAAAGUGGGGUGAAAAAUCUGAUGCAAGUAACAAAAGCAGACGAAAGGCACAAGAAGGGGCAUUCCGAACUAGGGAACUGAGAUAGUUUUUUCCUGGUGUCGGAGUUUUGGCAUUAACAGCAACAGCAUCAAAAUGUCUGCAAAAUCAGAUUAAGGAAAAUUUAAUUAUGCAGACUGCAAAGUUGUAAAUGUUUGCCCAAACAGAGAUAAUAUCAGACUAUCUGUUUUGAAGAUUCAACGAGAUAUCCCAUCAUCAUUUUAUUGAAUGGUCGACAAGCUACGAGAAGAUCUACAUGAAUCCCAAAGGACAAUAGUAUACUGUUCAUCUAUUGAUGCAACAGAAACACUUUAUUAUUUUUUUAAGGAGGAAUACCCUCAAUUACAGCGAGACGGAAAAUACA